rnacentral:tRNA from 1 species
GGAGCGGCGCGGAAAAGGGACUCAUAAUCCGUAGGUCGCGGGUUCGAGCCCCGCCCGCCCCACCG